rnacentral:lncRNA from 1 species
AUGGAUUCAUUAUCUCACUGGAUGGCAUCAGAAAACACAGUACUGCAGGCAGUAUCCUUCCACCUGCCUGCCAGAAGAUUUCAUUUUAUUAUUCAAUUUUUAAAGCCCACACUCAUUCUAGGGAUUUCCAGUUGGGUUUGCAAAGAUGAAUCUGGAAGGGCGAAGAGAAUAAACAGUGAUUGCUCAAUGAAACUGGGAAAUGGUUGUAAAGGACUGCAAAAUACAAACCAGUAAAAAUCACAAAUAAGUUAAUUCUGCAGAAGUUUUACUGGAAGCACAAACUGAGUUUUGGAAGCAUUCACAUAUGUCUAAUGAAUAACUCGCAGACAGGUAAAAGAGGGUUGUGUACAUAGAGGCUAGCGACUUCUGGCAUGGCUUUCUUUGGGGUCGGUCUUGUGUUUUCUGGUGUUGUUUAUUUGUUUGUGGGUUUGGUGGUGUUUCAUAAAUUACUCUUUAGGCACAGGGCAACAUAAAUACACUUUCAUGGUUCCAGACCUAAGCAAGUGUGAGUUCCUCAACAAUACAGAUCACUCACUCCGUCACUUUUAGUUUUACUAGCUCAGAGAUUUCUGCUUUUUUUGGGUGCUGAAAUUGUGCUCUUGGAGUCAUCAUCAAAAGCAGCAAUAAGCACUCUGAAUAUGGAGUUGCAUUCAAAAUACAGGCCUG